rnacentral:rRNA from 1 species
UCUGGUGGCAAUAGCAAAGUGGUCACACCUGUUUUCCAUCUCGAACACAGAAGUUAAGCACUUUAGCGGCUACAAUAGCUCAUUGAGCGAAGAUCGCACGUUGCCAGGU